UGAUGGCCACGUGCAGCUUCUGAAACGUUCUUGGGAUUGUCCUGUAUUCCUAUUCACUGUAAAACCACUGCCACUGCCAGAGGGAGAGAGCAUGAAUUGUUGCUGCCGUGGAAGAAGCCAAGGCAUUUGGUGAGAGUCCUGGGGAGUCCGUUGCCUGCCUGACACAUGCUUUUGUGACUUCCUUGAACUGUUCUUUCAGAUCGUUUGCCAAAUCAUUGGACAAGUGAACUGCCACAAAGUACUAUGUGAAUGCUUUAAUACAGAAUGGAUAUUUUCAGCUCUAAUGGAGGAACACUGGAAAACUACUACAUGGAAGCAUGUUAGUUUCGGCGUGAUAUCAUACUAACAUGCUUACUGGGCUUUUGAUUUAGAGUUAGAUCAAAUACAAUCAGCACAAAAUGUAGACAAGGCAAGCUUGGGUUUAUCUGUA